rnacentral:rRNA from 1 species
UACGUAGGGUGCAAGCGUUGUCCGGAAUUAUUGGGCGUAAAGAGCUCGUAGGCGGUCUGUCACGUCGGCUGUGAAAACACGGGGCUCAACUCCGUGCCUGCAGUCGAUACGGGCAGACUAGAGUUCGGCAGGGGAGACUGGAAUUCCUGGUGUAGCGGUGAAAUGCGCAGAUAUCAGGAGGAACACCGGUGGCGAAGGCGGGUCUCUGGGCCGAUACUGACGCUGAGGAGCGAAAGCAUGGGUAGCGAACAGG